UACGGGGGGAGCAAGCGUUGUUCGGAUUUACUGGGCGUAAAGGGCGCGUAGGCGGCCUGUUAAGUCGAACGUGAAAUCCCCGGGCUCAACCCGGGAACUGCGUCCGAUACUGGCAGGCUUGAAUUCGGGAGAGGGAUGCGGAAUUCCAGGUGUAGCGGUGAAAUGCGUAGAUAUCUGGAGGAACACCGGUGGCGAAGGCGGCAUCCUGGACCGAGAUUGACGCUGAUGCGCGAAAGCCAGGGGAGCAAACGGG
rnacentral:rRNA from 1 species